UCGUAACAAGGUUUCCGUAGGUGAACCUGCGGAAGGAUCAUUACUGAAAUGUAAUAACUUCUAUUGAAAGGUUCCAGAGUAGGCGCUACAACGCCGAAAUGACCUUCUCACCCUUGUGUACUCACUAUGUUGCUUUGGCGGGUCGACCUGGUUCCGACCCAGGCGGCCGGCGCCCCCAGCCUUAACUGGCCAGGACGCCCGGCUAAGUGCCCGCCAGUAUACAAAACUCAAGAAUUCAUUUUGUGAAGUCCUGAUAUAUCAUUUAAUUGAUUAAAACUUUCAACAACGGAUCUCUUGGUUCUGGCAUCGAUGAAGAACGCAGCGAAAUGCGAUAAGUAAUGUGAAUUGCAGAAUUCAGUGAAUCAUCGAAUCUUUGAACGCACAUUGCGCCCUCUGGUAUUCCGGAGGGCAUGCCUGUUCGAGCGUCAUUUCAACCCUCAAGCUCUGCUUGGUAUUGGGCAACGUCCGCUGCCGGACGUGCCUUGAAGACCUCGGCGACGGCGUCCUAGCCUCGAGCGUAGUAGUAAAAUAUCUCGCUUUGGAGUGCUGGGCGACGGCCGCCGGACAAUCGACCUUCGGUCUAUUUUUCCAAGGUUGACCUCGGAUCAGGUAGGGAUACCCGCUGAACUUAAGCAUAUCA
rnacentral:rRNA from 1 species